UUCCCUGUGGAAGCUUUGAGCCUCCAGGCACCCACAGCACUCUCACUUCACACCUGUUUCCCUCUUUACCCAUUAAAGUGUAAUAUCCUGAAAGGUUACACGACUCAGACAAAUAUAAAGUGCUUGCUUAACAUAUUAAUUCUACUUAAUGUAGUAAUUAAUGAAAGAACAAUUAAGAAGUUAGAAACCAGUGCAAAUGAGAUUUAGACCUACAGGAUUUAUAUUUUCUACCAGACAAGAUUCUUUUGCAUGAGCGGGACCCAGCAGCAUUGCUAGAGACAGGACAUGUUUGCAUGACUCUCCCUUUCCUCCAAGUUUACACCUAUCCCUAAGGAUACCCUGUGGAUAACCCUAACCCUUGUAUACUAGUCCAGCCAGAGACAACCUUAGAGGAUCUGGCACUCCUGGGUGGUCUGGGGGACAACACCCCCGCAUUUCAUGGGAAGGAUACCAGUAAUUUCUUGCCCAUUUCCAAACCUUGGCCAGCUUUCCUAGCAUCUCUAUUUUGCAGUGUGUAAGUGGGGGAGUUUGCAGCCAACGCUGUGGGUCUGGUCCAACCUGUCUUGGGCUGAGGGGAAGUCACCCUUUUAGCCGACCUCCUUCCAAGGUCACUUGAGCUUCACGUCUGCAUCCCCGGGCACCCACUAUUACUUGAACUUCUGCCAACAUUCCAGCAUUUUCUGCCCCAGCGUUUACUACUUUGUUGUAUUUAAUCUACCUGUGGCAAAACGCUGCUUGUGGUCCCAGCUCAAUCACCCACAGCCCUCCCUGAUGCUCUGCAUCCACGUCCUUCAUUCUGGGGAGGGAAAACCAAUAUCUGCUCCUUUAGUACAAUACUUUCUCGCUCAUUCUGUGGCAGCUAACAGUUCACAAUGGGGCAGAAAAAGGAUCCAGCACUAUAAACAUUUUUAACAAUAUUUGAAGCAUGUACUCAAUUUGAGUGCUUAUUCUGUUAGGCUUUAUAGUAAGAGGUUAGAUAGAUUUUUAUUCUAAAGCCUUUCCAAUCUGGGGGGUAACAGCCAGGAAAUCAGCUCAUUAGCAAACUGAGGAUCUGAGAAAUGCCACCACCGUGUAUGGCCUUCUGAUGCCCUCACCUUUUAGAGGCCUGCUGCUUUGCCCAAAUUCCACAUAGCUGUAAGCCUUGGAGCACACAGCCUGUGAGUUCCUUCGAGUACCUGUUGUUGUGUACAAGGAAUGACAUUGGGACAAGCCAUGGCCACCCCCACCCCAUACCGCAGAAUGUGACCUUGUUUGGAAACAGAGUCCUUGAAGAUGUAUCAGUUAAGAUGAGGACAGACUUCCUGUCCUGGCUCAGUGGUAAUGAGCCCGACUGGUAUCCAUGAGGACGAACAUUCGAUCCCUGGCCUCGCUCAGUAGGUUAAGGAUCCAGUGUUGCUGUGGGCGGUGGUGGAGGUCACAGACACGGCUCAGAUCUGGCAUUGCUGUGGCUGUGGCGUAGGCCAGCGGCUCCAGCUCCAAUUCGACCCAAGCCUGAGAAUUACCGUAUGCUGAGGGUGUGGCUCUAAAAAAAAAAAAAAGAGAGAGAUGAAGCUACAUUGGUGCUGGGCAGGCCCUGUUCCAGCAUGACCUGUGGCCUUCUAAGAAGAGGAGAGCGCCCUGUGGGGACAGAGACACACAGGGAGAUGCCAUGUGACAACUAAGUCAGCCACUGGAGUGAUGCUAAGAGCCAGGGAACGCCAAGGAGGGCCAGCAGGUCUCGAGAAGCUGGGGGGAAGCAAGGACGGACCCUCCCCUGCAAUUUCAGAAGGACCGUGGCCUUCUGACCCCUUGAUUUUGGAUAUCUAGCCUCCAAAACUGUGCGAGAAGAAAUUACUCCUGGUUAAGACCACCUGAUCUGUGGUCAUUUGCUACGGCAACUCUAGGAAAUUCAACCAGCAGGCAAACAAUAGCG
rnacentral:lncRNA from 1 species